UAUGUGGAUAAAAAUAACACAAUAAUCGUGAGAUAACUAAUUUUGGGAUAAGUUAUUUCGGGAUUUUAUUUCAGUUAAAUAUGUGGGAUAGACGCCUAUUAAAUUUGGUCUCGAGAUUAGUUAUUCCUCAACUGAAGGGGAGUUUUGGAGUAAUUGGUAAAUUUGUCGUUCUUUAGCAGAAAUGUAAGGUAAGUUUGCAUAUAAUAAAUUCUUGUGGUCAGUCCUUUUUUGAAUUUUGGUCGUAGUGAGAUCUUUAGUGCAUCGGUCUAUUCUUUUUAAUUUGGUACUUACACCAAACGAGCAUUAUGUAGAGUCAAAUGAUGAGGUUAUAUUACAAAUAACUAAUGUUAUGUACACCUUCCAAGAAUCCUUUUCUUUUUACUCUUAAAAAGAUUAGAUGUUUUAUUCAUUUGUUCAAAACUACUGUAGAAACACUUGAAUACAGCAAAAUCCAAACACAUAGCAAAACACGACACGGUUGUUGUCUUGGCUGAAAUGCACAGAGCCUAUAAAUUCUCCAUCUGUUGUUUCAGUAACCGAAGAAGUUAUGGAGCAUUUCUCACUACGCAAUCACAACCAGUAUUAAGCAGUCCUGUCCCAACUCAAGAAAACAUCUCCCGUUUAAUUUUGGAACAAAAAUCUGCAACUGAAGCUCUUCAAACCUUUAGAUGGGCCUCCAAGCUUCGCAGUUUCACUCACAAUCACUCUACCUACAGAACUUUAAUCCACAAGCUCUGUAAGUUUCGGCGUUUCGAUUGUGUCCACCACCUGCUCGACGAAAUGCCUAGCUCAAUUGGAUCAACCCCAGAUGAGGAUACUUUUGUGACCAUUGUGCGUGGUCUUGGUCGUGCUCGAAUGAUUAAACAAGUCAUCAAAGUUCCUGAAUUGAUGUCCAAGUUUGAAAAGAAACCAACCCUGAAGCUCUACAAUUCGAUUCUUGAUAUCCUUGUUAAGGAAGAUAUCGACAUUGCUAGAGAAUUUUAUAGGAAGAAAAUGAUGGGGACUGGAAUUCAGGGUGACGAUUACACUUACGGUAUUCUGAUGAAAGGACUUUGCUUGACUAAUAGGAUUGGUGAUGGGUUUAAGCUGCUUCAAGUGAUGAAAACUCGUGGCGUUAUCCCGAAUGCUGUGAUUUACAAUACACUUAUACAUGGACUAUGCAAGAAUGGGAAGGUAGGGAGAGCAAGGAGUUUAAUGAGAGAUUUGGUUGAACCAAGUGAUGUGACUUUUAACAUUUUGAUAUCCGCAUAUUGUGGAGAAGGAAAUUUAGUACAGGCUUUGGUGAUGCUGGAAAAGAGCUUUAGUAAAGGGUAUAUUCCUGAUGUUAUUACAGUGACUAAAGUAGUGGAACUUCUUUGUAAACAUGGACGUGCUUCAGAGGCAGUGGAGGUACUAGCAAGGGUUGAGGAAAGAGGAGGUGUUGUUGAUGUUGUGGCAUAUAACACAUUGAUUAGUGGGUUUAUUAGAUUAGGGAAAGUGAAAGUAGGGUGUCGUCUUUUGAAGGAAAUGGAGUUGAAAGGGUGCAUGCCGAAUACAGAUACAUAUAACGGCUUGAUAUCUGGUCUUUGUGACUCCAAGAUGUUGGAUUUGGCACUUGAUAUGUUCAAUGAAAUGAAAAGGGUUGGGAUAAAUUGGAAUUUUGUCACUUACAGUACUCUUAUCAAUGGAUUGUGUUCAGGGGGGAGAGUGGAAGCUGGAUUGAAGAUCUUGGAAUUAAUGGAAGAUGAUAAAGAGGUGUCGCUGAUUCCUAUUAGUCCGUAUAAUGGUGUUAUAUAUGGUUUUUACAAGGAUAACCGUUUGGAAGAAGCACUUGCAUUUUUAAGGAAGAUGGAAAAUUUGUUUCCACGAGCUGUGGAUAGGAGUGUAAGUAUACUUGGUUUGUGUGAAAAUGGAAGCAUUGAUGAAGCAAGGAGGGUGUAUGAUCAGAUGGUUAGGGAAGGUGUUAUGCCAAGUGCUCUUGUUUAUGCAAACUUACUUUGUGGAUUUUGCAGCAAAGGAUGUAUAAGAGAAGCAUUUGAGCUGCUGAACGAGAUGAUUGGGCGUGGUUAUCUUCCAGUUGCAUCAACAUUAAAUGCUUUGAUAAUUCUGCUUUGCAAGCAGGGUAAAGUUGGAGAGGCAUCAAAGUUGAUGGGGGACAUCAUAGGUAGAGGCUGCUUGUUGGACUCUGGAAGUUACAGUCCAUUCAUUGAUGCCUUCUGUAGCAAUGGAGAUUUCCACAGAGCAUUUGUGUUCUUUCUGCAAAUGGUGGAAAUCGGUAUAGUUCCUGAUUACCAUUCAUGGAAUGCAUUGCUUGUAUGCCUUUGUCAACAAACAAGUUGGAUAGAAGGCAAUAACAAGUAUUGCCGUUUAACUAGCCAACUGCAGACUAUUAUACAGACAUGACGAGUCACUAGGUAUGAGCUGUCUGGCGUUCUUUGUGACCUUUGCAAAGCUUUUGGUAUUAUCUGAGGCAAAGUUGGUUGAACCAAAUGCCCUUAAAUCAUCAAGAUUGCGGUCUCUAAAAUGCAAGAACUCAUUUAUUGUCACCAGCAAUUGCUGAGUUGAAGUGUAUUUCUGGUCUUGCAUUAUAAUUCUUUUAACAGGAGAUAUACCAAAAGAACUUGGAAAUUUGACUGAGUUGAAUGAUUUUUAUCUCAAUAUGAACAAUCUUUCUGGGAGUAUACCACCAGAACUUGGAAGCAUGGCAAGUUUACAAGGUUUGUAGCCUUUGUAAUUAAAUAGCUUUCUGUUUAAUUUUGAGGGAAAUUGCUUCUUUGUUUUUUUAUCCCACCGUAGGAGCUCCCACCUUUUGCUCCUUUAGUGACUCGAACCAACAACUUCCCUGGAAGCUCUCGCUUUUUGUUUUUCGAGCGACUUGAACCAACAACCUCCCUAGGAGCUUCCACCUUUUGCUCUUUUAGUGACUCGAACCAACAACCUCCCUAGGAGCUCCCACUUUUUUGCACCUUUGGUGACUCGAACCUAUAACCUCCCUAGGAGCUUCCACUUUUUGCUCCUUUGGUGACUUGAAUCAACAACCUCCCUAGGAGCUUCCACUUUUUGCACCUUUGGUGACCCGAAUCGACAACCUCCCUGGGAGCUCCCACCUUUUUUUCUUCUUUGGUGACUCGAACCGGCAACUUAGGAUGGAGGUCAGGAGGUAGGGUUGACAGAGUUCAUGGAAGGAUUGAGCUUAUUAACCUCCCUGAAACAUGAAAACCUCCUCAAGCUAAGAGGUUUGUGUUGUCCAAAGGGGAGGGGCGAGUGUUUUUCAAUCUAUGACUUCACCUCGAAAGGAAACCCCUCUCAGUAUCUUGAUGUUGACCUAAACAGCAACCAUGUUCUUGCUUUAGUGACUCAAACGGACAACUUCCUUAGAAGCUCCCGCGUUUUGUUUUUUGAGUGACUUGAACCGAUGUCAUGACCUGUAUUAAUGGUCGCGUGAGAGACAUACAUUAGGGUCACGUGAGAGGCACGGACAGUCCACUUCAAUAUAAACACAGUGAACUAUUGUGAAGGAGGGAACAAAUUAUUUUGGUAAAAUCCCAACAGUCUUUUCCUCUCAUUCUCUCAUUUCUCUCUCUUCUUCCUAACUACUUCUUCUUCCUCCUCUCGACUAAUUCUCUCCCUAAUCGCCAUUUGAAGGUGACGAUUGGAGCUUCCUUGGCGACUUAUCUCUCGUAGUAUCCAAUUCCAUUUAUCAAUUGUAAUAGCUAGUUUGUAUUGAAUUUGGAUUAGCAAUAAAAAUUUCCCUUUCACGAUUUCAAUUUUUCUUUCAUUAUCAAAGUACAUAACAAUUGGUAUCAGAGAACGAACCUGUGUCGACUGUGGGUAGUAAUUCGAAGAAGAUGUUUGCGGAAUCAUCGACUUUGACUGAAUUGGUUGAACGAAACAAUGCCAAUAGAAGGGCCUUUGUGGAUGGAAUUUCUGGAAUAAUUGUGGAUUUAAAACAAUUUCAGAGUUGGGGUGAGGAUUGCAUAUGCAGUGUUGACUGCCAAUGCAACUCAUGUGUUUAUGGGUGUUUACGUAGUGUUGACUGCCAAUGCGGUUUUUGUCUUAAUGUCUAUUCGGGGGAAAUGAAUGAAGGGGACAACCAGUCUGAGGUGGGUUCUUGCAACCAGGCUAUUGUUGAACUGUUGAAAGUGGAAAAUAACAGUGAGGUCAAUUUAGAAUACAAAGCAGAUCAGGUGUUUGGCGAAUUUCCUCAAUGGGCAGAAGAUGAAAUUCUAGUUGAACUUCACUCCAUCCACAAUACAAAUACCACGGAGAUCGAAAUCGUGGGCUUACGUUUGAAUUCACGACUUUAUGUUCUUGAUGUUGAGGAUACAAUAUCGAAAUUGAUGUGUCUCGACGAUUUGCCAUGCAAGGGACAUAAACUUGACAUAGAGUUUGGUGGCAAGCUAUUCAAUAUAAAGCUGGAAAGGCAUUGUUUGGCAGAAUGUUGUGGCUCGCUUAUAACUACUGGUUUUCUUCCACAUGCUUUGGGUUUAAACAGUUGUAAUUGGGUUGACACAGGCAAGCUUUCUGGGCUUUCCUUGAUAGGGUAAAGUCGGGUAUGUAUUCAUUCAGUUGUAGUUUGCUUACCACAUUUCUUGGCACUACAAGACAUUAUUCAAUUAUUGUUGUGGAUCAUUUCAAGAAGAUCAUUCAUAUGUUAUCUUGUCACAUUGAUUCCACACCCAAUGAUCAAAGUAUUUUGAAUCAAUUUCCCUUUGACCCUGGAGAAAACUUAUUUAUAGUAACCCCUGGCGGAUAUCUCCAAAUUCUACAAUUACAACUUGGUUCAUAUGUACACACUUUAUUACCUGUGAAGGACAUAUUUCAGCGUCGGGUUCCAGGAAUUAGUUGUGAGUUCAUGGCCACAAGAUCAAGUGGAGUGGUUGUUUUCUGUGGCAUGUGGACUCCAUAUUUGGCAUUGUAGGCCAUCUGUUUUUGGUUGCGAUAAAGUUUCAACUCCACGUUACCAUUCGGAGCACACUCCUUGAUGAGCUGCGAAAGUACGGACAAAUGAAUGAAAUGACCCAAGUCAAUUCAUGGCUUGGAUGUACCUUAGGCUUACACAUUUGCAAUUGGUUUGAUAUUGGACAGGUUCUAUGGACUUUCCUUGAUGGGGUAGAGUUGGGUAUGUCUUUAUUCCUACAUGUGCUGAUUGCUUAUUCUGACAGGCUGAUUAAUAAACUCACUGCUGACUUCUUAUCUUUCGGUUUUGAGAAGGAAAAUAAUGGAACUAUUAUAGUUUUUGCCCCUGGAGAUACUAUCUUGGAUGUGAUUGAUAUCAAUUAUAUGAAGCCUAUUAAGUUCAAGUUGUCAUUACUAUGCACUAUUGCUCGAUUACGUCUACUAAGUUGUGAUACAGUGGAGGUUCUUCCGUUGUUGUUUCGGUCAUAUUAGUUGUUUGAUGGAGCUACUGUUACUGUAGUCUAUGUCCAAAAGGAAGAAAGGAAGUAUCAUUUUGCAGUCUCCAUUGAGAGGAAUGACUUCUUGUGUUACUCUUGCCGCAUUUAAACACUUAAUAUGUGCAUCCUCUCAGGACUUCUCCUUUGAGGAUAGUCAAACUAUAUGGAAGCAUAACGGGUGUUGUGGCAGAUAAUGAUCAAAUGAGAUGUGAAAUGUCGACUUUUUCAUGGAUCCGAAGGUUCAUUUGCAGCUGUUUGCACACCAAACAUAUCAAGUUGAGUCAUUCUGAGGAAAUAACUAACAACAACUUAAGAGGACGGUUGAGUGACAGCAAAGCAAAUGGACAUAUUUUUGCGAUAAAUUGGUUGGCUCAGUCGGCAUUGCUUAUUCUUCUAAAGCUUACUUCAGAAAAUUUCCUCGAAAGAGUGAUUAAGUCUGUGUUCUGCUCGUGUAAACACAUUCAUGGGCUUUUGCAAUUUGCGAGAGGAAAAUUGCAAUCUUCCCCUGUCUCAAAACUUCAAUUAAAAAAAUAAGGGUAUACAAUUGCAUCUCUACAGUUUGAAGUUGCUUCAGUUGUUGAACACUGGCUAGAACUUUUUCUAAAGGCACGGACUUCAUUUCUUUCAUCGACAAUUGUCCACGAUAAUAGGCAGCUCUGGAUUGCUUCAAUUGAACAAGUCGUUCACCUGCAAGUUGGCUAUUGGCAUUGGUAUUUUUGUGGGUGCUCUAUACUUCCUAAGGAACAAACCAAAUCAUCAACUGCUAGUCAAGUAUUCAACAAUGACCUUGAGGACAAGGUCGAUUUUAAGUGGGAAGGAUUGUCAUGACCUGUAUUAAUGGUCGCAUGAGAGGCAUACAUUAGGGUCCCGUGAGAGGCACGGACAGUCCACUUCAAUAUAAACACAGUGAACUAUUGUGAAGGAGGGAACGAAUUAUUUUGGUAAAAUCCUAACGAUCUUUUCCUCUCAUUCUCUCAUUUCUCUCUCUUCUUCCUAACUACUUCUUCUUCCUCCUCUCGACUAAUUCUAUCCCUAAUCGUCAUUGAAGGUGACGAUUGGAGCUUCCAUGGCGACUUAUCUCUCGUAGUAUCCAAUUCAAUUUAUCAAUUGUAAUAGCUAGUUUGUAUUGAAUUUGGAUUAGCAAUAAAAAUUUCCCUUUCAUGAUUUCAAUUUUUCUUUCAUUAUCAAAGUACAUAAUAACCGACAACCUCCCUAGGAGCUUCCACCUUUUGCUCUUUUAGUGACUCGAACCAACAACCUCCCUAGGAGCUCCCACUUUUUUUCUCUUUUGGUGACUCAAACCUAUAACCUCCCUAGGAGCUUCCACUUUUUGUUCCUUUGGCGACUCGUAUUGACAACUUCCCCAGGAGCUCCCCCCUUUUUGCUUCUUUGGUGACUCGAAGUCUCGAACCGACAACUUAAAGGAUGGAGGUCAGGAGGUAGAGGAGACAGAGUUCAUGGAAGGAUUGAGCUUAUUAACCUCGCUGAAACAUGAAAACCAAGAAGACUGGGAUAUCUGCGCAGCUCUGAACCAGACAAGCCUUCUAUGGUUCAUCGCAACAUAUCAGUGGAAAAAGUCCUCCUUGAUCAACAGUUCACUCCACUAAUACUGGACUGUGGUUUACUAAAGCUACUUGCCGAUGUUGUUGUUUAUUCAGCACUAAAGGUCAGUGCUGCACUUGGAUAUAUAUAUGGCUCCUGAAUACAUACAUUACAACUGGAGGAUUCACAGAAAAGAGCGAUGUAUAACCUUCAAGUACUCUCUGGUAAAGGACUUGUUGACUGCUCAAUGAGACGUGCAGCUGAAUCUUGCUCUUCAUUGAUCCAAAUCUCAAGGGAACAUUCUCUGUACGUGAAGCAACUUGCACUCUUGAUGAUCCAGAUAACUGGUCCAAGUAUGGCUUUAGUAAAUGAAGAAUUGAACAUGUCUCUAGCGCUGGCUGAAAAGGGGACAAAAUGCAAACAAAGAAAGUUCAAUCCCAAGAAAACAGUAAGUGACACUCUUGUAUUCCUUGAGUGGAUCAAAGUCAAGAUCCUUUUAUAAACGGGGUGAGUCAACUAUUUAUUGAUUACAACGCUAAGACCUUGGGCGGUGACUUCCUAAUUCAAUUCUCAGUCUCAAAUCUCAACUAGUAGAUGAAAAUUCAAUUAUCAGUCUCAAGUCUCAACUAAUACAAGAAUAUAUGUCUAUUUUGAAAA